rnacentral:rRNA from 1 species
GAUCUCAAAUCAGGUAGGACUACCCGCUGAACUUAAGCAUAUCAAUAAGCGGAGGAAAAGAAACUAACAAGGAUUCCCCUAGUAACUGCGAGUGAAGCGGGAAGAGCUCAAAUUUAAAAUCUGGCGUCCUCUGG